rnacentral:rRNA from 1 species
GUAGUCCACGCCGUAAACGAUGAAUACUAGGUGUCGGGGGUCGAACCUCGGUGCCGCAGUUAACACAAUAAGUAUUCCGCCUGGGGAGUACGAUCGCAAGAUUAAAACUCAAAGGAAUUGACGGGGGGCCCGCACAAGCAGCGGAGCAUGUGGUUUAAUUCGAAGCAACGCGAAGAACCUUACCUAGACUUGACAUCCCCUGCAUAACCCAGAGAUGGGCAAAGUCCUUCGGGACAGGGUGACAGGUGGUGCAUGGUUGUCGUCAGCUCGUGUCGUGAGAUGUUGGGUUAAGUCCCGCAACGAGCGCAACCUUAUCAUUAGUUGCUACCAUUUAAGUUGAGCACUCUAGUGAGACUGCCCGGGUUAACCGGGAGGAAGGUGGGGGAAUGACGUCAAAUCAUCAUGCCCCCUUAUGUCUAGGGGCUACACACGUGCUACAAUGGUGAGUACAAAGAGAUGCAAGACCGCAAGGUGGAGCCCAAAAUCUCAAAAAUCUCAUCCCCAGUUCGGGAUUGUAGGCUGCAAACUCGCCUACAUU